rnacentral:SRP_RNA from 1 species
CCGGGCUAGUUGGGGAGGUAGCGGUGCCCUGUAACUUGCAAUCCGCUCUAGCGAGAAUGAAGUCCUUUCCUAGGCUGUCCGUAUUGUAGGGUUUGCCUUUUGCACGUAGCGUUGACGGCUGGGUCCCGCGCAAUGAGUACCCAUGAACCAUGUCAGAUCCGGAAGGAAGCAGCAUUAAGUGGGUUCACUCAUGUGCCGUGGGGUAGCCUCGCUUGAGUUGGCGACAAAAGUAACGCCUAUGUGCUGCUGCCAAAGAAGGUGCUCGG